UACGUAGGUGGCAAGCGUUGUCCGGAUUUAUUGGGUUUAAAGGGUGCGUAGGCGGUCCUGUAAGUCAGUGCUGAAAUAUCCCAGCUUAACUGGGAGGGUGGCAUUGAUACUGCGGGGCUAGAGUACAGAUGAGGUAGGCGGAAUUGACGGUGUAGCGGUGAAAUGCUUAGAUAUGACAUAGAACACCAAUUGCGAAGGCAGCUCGUUACGCGAAUAUUGACACUGAUGCACGAAAGCGUGGGGAUCAAACAGG
rnacentral:rRNA from 1 species